UUAAUUGAAGCCAAAUCAGAGGCAAUUUAUUGUUAAUAAAUCUACUGGUAUGAAAUACCCAAUUAAA
rnacentral:tRNA from 1 species